rnacentral:rRNA from 1 species
AUUGAACGCUGGCGGCAGGCCUAACACAUGCAAGUCGAGCGAGCGGCGGACGGGUGAGUAAUGUGUGGGGAUCUGCCCGAUAGAGGGGGAUAACUACUUGAAACGGUGUCUAAUACCGCAUUCUAUCGGAUGAACCCAGAUGGGAUUAGCUAGUUGGGGGGGUAAAGGCGCACCGAGGCGACGAUCUCUAGCUGGUCUGAGAGGAUGAUCGGCCACACUGGAACUGAGACACGGCCCAGACUCCUACGGGAGGAAGAAGUGGGGAAUAUUGCACAAGGGGCGCAAGCCUGAUGCAGAAACGCCGGUGGGGUGAGGAAGGCUUUCGGAUCGUAAACCUCUGUUAGUAGGGAGGCGGUACCUAAUCAGAAAGCCACGGCUAACUACGUGCCAGCAGCCGCGGUAAUAC